AAAGUGAUUCAGACCAUAAGAACGAAGGCUAACAUUAGAAUACUACAUAAGCAGAGUGCUUGCAAUUCUUCUUGCCAAUUUUCACACAAUAAACACAAAAGCGAAAGAAACUAGACAAUGAAGCUGUGGCUCAUAACAUUCCAUUCAAAUAUGGACCCCCUUGAAUCUAUUCAGAAAGUUGAUUCUCUCGAGCACACUUUGUACUUUUCAUUCACUGCCAUUCUCAGAUAGAAAGACAUGGUAUGCAUGCCAUACAAAGAAGAAAUAUCUAUAUAUUUUCUUUCUGAACUUUUUUAAAAAAAUCAUUGAACUUACUAAUAUAUAAAAAUCAGAAGACAUUUCUUUCUUCAGAGUAGGAAUUGAAGCAUUGCCCAUACAGAACCUAACUACCCAAAACCUCAAGACUCCCAUUUUGAGGCUCAACAUUCCCCGGACAAAAUUCUGACUGCAGUGCUAACUGAGUAGCAAAUCUCUUAGAACAUGCACCACUAUACUUCAGAAGAAAAUACUAAGUAUUAACAAUAAGCAUUAGCAAUAAUUUCUCAAGCAAACUCCUAAGGGCUUAGACGAAUUAAUUCUCACUCAGCAAGGCUGGGACUACUCUCAAGGUAGUGAGUUUGAAACCUUUGGAUCUAAAUCGAUAUUGACCAGCAUAUCAACAAAUUGAACCAAUUAAAUAUAGAUCUGGAAUUUAAUCAUUCUUCUUAUUAGUCAUAAAAUUCAGGAGGAUGAACAGCAUCAGUCUUAUGAUAAAUGCACGUUCAACUCAGUUUAAGAGACAGAAAUUUAGCAAACAAGUAGCAAACCUCUUGAAUUUUCAAUCUACAUCAUUCUUGCAAUUAAAGGAUUGAGG